UUCUUAGUGGCGGACGGGUGAGUAACGCGUGGGUAACCUGCCUUACACAGGGGGAUAACAGUUAGAAAUGACUGCUAAUACCGCAUAAGACCCCGGUACCGCAUGGUACAGAGGUAAAAACUGAGGUGGUGUAAGAUGGACCCGCGUCUGAUUAGGUAGUUGGUGAGGUAACGGCUCACCAAGCCGACGAUCAGUAGCCGGCCUGAGAGGGUGGACGGCCACAUUGGGACUGAGACACGGCCCAGACUCCUACGGAAGGCAGCAG
rnacentral:rRNA from 1 species